AUUCAUUGUCCCCAGAGAUUUUCUUUUUCCUUAGUCACGUCCUGAUAGAACUUCUAAAUCAGGCAAGUUAUUACAAGAACUGUGUACAGUAUUUAAUGUAGAUUUACCAUGCCGUGUGAAGUCUUCCCAAUUGGGAAUUAUCAGCAAUAAACAGACGCAUACCAGCGCCAUAGUGAAGCCACAGUCUAGCUCCUGUUCCUAUAUCUGCCAGCACUGCCUCGUCCACCUUGGAGACAUUGCUCGAUACAGAAACCAGACCAGCCAGGCAGAGUCCUACUAUAGGCAUGCAGCUCAGCUUGUCCCCUCCAAUGGUCAGCCUUAUAAUCAGUUGGCUAUCUUAGCUUCUUCCAAAGGAGACCAUCUGACCACAAUUUUCUACUACUGCAGAAGCAUUGCUGUGAAGUUCCCUUUCCCAGCUGCCUCCACUAAUCUGCAAAAAGCACUUUCUAAAGCACUGGAAAGCCGAGAUGAGGUGAAAACCAAGUGGGGUGUUUCUGACUUCAUCAAGGCCUUUAUUAAAUUCCACGGUCAUGUGUACCUGAGUAAGAGCUUGGAAAAGUUGAGCCCUCUUCGAGAGAAAUU
rnacentral:lncRNA from 1 species